GGGCGUCGAGCGGCGGACGGGUGAGUAAUGCCUAGGAAAUUGCCUUGAUGUGGGGGAUAACCAUUGGAAACGAUGGCUAAUACCGCAUAAUGCCUACGGGCCAAAGAGGGGGACCUUCGGACCUCUCGCGUCAAGAUAUGCCUAGGUGGGAUUAGCUAGUUGGUGAGGUAAUGGCUCACCAAGGCGACGAUCCCUAGCUGGUCUGAGAGGAUGAUCAGCCACACUGGAACUGAGACACGGUCCAGACUCCUACGGGAGGCAGCAGUGGGGAAUAUUGCACAAUGGGCGAAAGCCUGAUGCAGCCAUGCCGCGUGUAUGAAGAAGGCCUUCGGGUUGUAAAGUACUUUCAGUUGUGAGGAAGGGGGUAACGUUAAUAGCGUUAUCUCUUGACGUUAGCAACAGAAGAAGCACCGGCUAACUCCGUGCCAGCAGCCGCGGUAAUACGGAGGGUGCGAGCGUUAAUCGGAAUUACUGGGCGUAAAGCGCAUGCAGGUGGUUCAUUAAGUCAGAUGUGAAAGCCCGGGGCUCAACCUCGGAACUGCAUUUGAAACUGGUGAACUAGAGUGCUGUAGAGGGGGGUAGAAUUUCAGGUGUAGCGGUGAAAUGCGUA
rnacentral:rRNA from 1 species